rnacentral:rRNA from 1 species
GUGGCGGCUGCUCCAGAAUGCAAGUCGAACGCGAAAGUCCCCUUCGGGGGGCAAGUAGAGUGGCGCACGGGUGAGUAACACGUAGGUAAUCUACCUUUGGAUUGGGAAUAACAACCGGAAACGGUUGCUAAUACCGAAUAAUGCAGCGGCACCUCAAUGGUGACAGUUAGUUAAAGCGGGGGAUCGCAAGACCUCGCGUCUAGAAGAGGAGCCGCGGGCAGUAUUCAGCUAGUUGGUAAGGUAACGGCUUUACCAAGGCGAUGAUCUGUUAGCCGGCCUGAGAGGGCGGUUCGGCCACACUGACACUGACAUACGGGUCAGACUCCCUACGGGAGGCAGUCAAGUCCGGGAAAUUUUUGGGCCAAUGGGCGAAAAGCCUGAACCCAAUCAAUCGCCCGCUGUUUGAAGAGAUUGAAAAUCCCUUCAGGAUUGUAAACUUUCGCAAGAACCGGGCAAGUAAUCUA